GUAUUCGAAAUUGUAUGCGCGACGUGGACUGUGUCAUACUUUGUGGAAACCAUCCGGAUGAAACCGCCCAGUGAUCCGCACAGUUGUUACUGUGGAGAGGAUUCAGUGUAGAUGCAAAUACGAACAAGAACAUCCUGCCACAGGCGUGCUUAUAGGUUUUACCGAGGGAACGACCUGACAAAUACCGUGUUGGCUUCAUUACGCUCAAAGCUGUAGACUUCCACACUCUCAUUUUGUCACCCACGUUCCCGGAACCAGAUAACCUAACUGAGGUACCCCGAGUGGUACCACCAGCACACAUAGAAGGGUCAUUGGACCUAAACCACAACGAAUUAUUAUACUCAAAGGCAUAAAGGCACGUAUACUUAAAUACCGAAAAAAAUUAUUUUGCUGCGGCUUCUCCUUCUUUUCGUAAUAAAAGCAUGGACCU